rnacentral:rRNA from 1 species
CUUGAACGCUGGCGGCAGGCCUAACACAUGCAAGUCGAACGAGUGGCGGACGGGUGAGUAAUGUCUGGGAAACUGCCCGAUGGAGGGGGAUAACUACUGGAAACGGUAGCUAAUACCGCAUACCAUCGGAUGUGCCCAGAUGGGAUUAGCUAUUAGGUGGGGUAACGGCUCACCUAGGCGACGACCCCUAGCUGGUCUGAGAGGAUGACCGGCCACACUGGGAAUGAGACACGGUCCAGAUUCCUACGUGAGGCAGAAGUGGGGAAUAUUGCACAAUGGGCGCAAGCCUGAUGCAGCCAUGCCGCGUGUAUGAAGAGGGCCUUCGGGUUGUAAAGGACUUUCAGCGGGGAGGCGUUGCUCGAAGAAGAAGCACCGGCUAACUCCAUGCCAGCAGCCGCGGUAAUUC